GACGAACGCUGGCGGCGUGCCUAAUACAUGCAAGUCGAGCGAAUCAUUAGGAGCUUGCUCCUGAUGGUUAGCGGCGGACGGGUGAGUAACACGUGGGCAACCUGCCUGUAAGACUGGGAUAACACCGGGAAACCGGUGCUAAUACCGGAUAAUUCUUUUCCUCACAUGAGGGAAAGCUGAAAUUCGGUUUCGGCUGACACUUACAGAUGGGCCCGCGGCGCAUUAGCUAGUUGGUGAGGUAAAGGCUCACCAAGGCGACGAUGCGUAGCCGAACUGAGAGGGUGAUCGGCCACACUGGGACUGAGACACGGCCCAGACUCCGACGGGAGGCAGCAGUAGGGAAUCUUCCGCAAUGGACGAAAGUCUGACGGAGCAACGCCGCGUGAGUGAUGAAGGCCUUCGGGUCGUAAAACUCUGUUGUUAGGGAAGAACAAGUACCGGAAUAACUGCCGGUACCUUGACGGUACCUAACCAGAAAGCCACGGCUAACUACGUGCCAGCCGCCGCGGUAA
rnacentral:rRNA from 1 species